rnacentral:rRNA from 1 species
CCUACGGGGUGCAGCAGUGAGGAAUAUUGGUCAAUGGGCGGAAGCCUGAACCAGCCAAGUCGCGUGAGGGAAUAAGGCCCUACGGGUCGUAAACCUCUUUUGCCGGGGAGCAAGGGCGGGGACGUGUCCCGGCCCGGAGAGUACCCGGAGAAAAAGCAUGGGCUAACCCCGUGCCAGCAGCCGCGGUAAUACGGGGGAUGCGGGGUUUAUCCGGAUUUAUUGGGUUUAAAGGGGGCGUAGGGGGGCUUUUAAGUCAGCGGUAAAAAUUCGGGGCUCAACCCCGUACGGCCGUUGAAACUGGGGGCCUUGAGUGGGUGAGAAGAAGGCGGAAUGCGUGGUGUAGCGGUGAAAUGCAUAGAUAUCACGCAGAACCCCGAUUGCGAAGGCAGCCUUCCGGCGCCCUACUGACGCUGAGGCACGAAAGUGCGGGGAUCGAACAGGAUUAGAUACCCGUGUAGUC